GGCACCUUGGCGGAGUGGUUACGCGGAGGUCUGCAAAACCUUUUACGCCAGUUCAAUUCUGGCAGGUGCCUCCA
rnacentral:tRNA from 1 species